rnacentral:lncRNA from 1 species
AAACAUCCCAGCCCACAUGCGCAGAGAGACCAUAAACGGGGACAAUAAAAUGGACAGUAUCUUAGCUGGCGACGAGUGCUAAGAAGAAAGAAUAAUGAAAGGGCAUUCGGAAGUGUUGGGGGCAGGGUAGGUUUUAUAGAGAGUGGGCAGGGAAGUCCUCACUGGAAGCUUGCACUUGAACGACCUGAAGGAGAGGAAGGAGCAGGUUAUGCAGCAGUGUGGGGAACGGCAUUCCUGGCUGAAGGAACACAAGCGCCUGUGAAACACGGAGGAGGCCAGGUGGCUGGACCAGAGAGAGGAGGGGGCAGAAUAAAUAGGAAAAGAGGAACACCCACUAACUUCUUGUCGGAUCUGAGAGAGUGAAUCAGCCCUGAUAAGCUGACUGUGAAGUUCCCGACGGUCAUAAACAGGGCCAGCGCAAGGCCAACAGAAAAUAGUGUUUUUCCCAACGCCACACCACAGCUGCAGAAUGACUAACACCUGGAGUCCUUGGCAUGCGGAUGAAAGCCCUUCUUUUUACAAGAGGAAAUCUCAAGCAUGCCAGCACUGGGGCUGGCCCCGUGGCCGAGUGGUCAAGUUCGUGCGCUCUGCUGCAGGCGGCCCAGUGUUUCCUUGGUUCGAAUCCUGGGCGCGGACAUGGCACUGCUCAUCAAACCACGCUGGGGCAGCGUCCCACAUACCACAACUAGAAGGACCCACAACGAAGAAGCUACAACUAUGUACUGGGGG